rnacentral:snRNA from 1 species
GCUUGCUUCAACCACACAUAUGCUAAAAUUGAAAGGAUACAGAGAAGAUUAGCAUGGCCCCUGUGCAAGAAAUGACGUACAAAUUCAUGAAGAGUUCCAUACUUUU